rnacentral:rRNA from 1 species
CACGUAGGGGGCUAGCGUUGUCCGGAAUCAUUGGGCGUAAAGCGCGUGUAGGCGGCCCGGUAAGUCCGCUGUGAAAGUCGGGGGCUCAACCCUCGGAUGCCGGUGGAUACUGUCGGGCUCGAGUACGGAAGAGGCGAGUGGAAUUCCUGGUGUAGCGGUGAAAUGCGCAGAUAUCAGGAGGAACACCUAUUGCGAAGGCAGCUCGCUGGGACGUUACUGACGCUGAGACGCGAAAGCGUGGGGAGCAAACAGG